UAGAACUUUACACGUCUGCUUUCACCU
rnacentral:piRNA from 1 species